UACAAAGGGGUCAGAAUAACCAUUCGAGUCCAUUGCUGCCAGAUGAGCACAUCGAACUACACCCACAAUCAGACGACUUUGUUGGCUGUUGUAGGUGCAGUUCAACAAGGAGAAUGCAGCCUUGAGCGCCAUGCCACGAGAAGCACCUCCGCCAGCAGAACGUUUCACCUGCUUACGAGGUGUGAAACACAGUCAAUUCACUACAAUGCCAUCAUUACAGUAAAAUUCCCCCCAAACUGUUUACCGUCCCCUCUUCAGCUUACCG